UCGAGAGCCUCUACAACCCUAGCCGCCACCGCUACUGCGCCCUUGUCGCCGCUGCUAUUAUCCCUGUCGCCGCCACCACAGCCGUGGCCGGCCAUCGUCAUCCGUCGCCACCGGUGAUCCCUUUCUGUUUUUUUCCUUCCCGAGGGGAGAAGGUUCAGAGGGCAGAGGAAGAAGGAGGAUUAAAGAAGAAAAAGAGAAAGAGAAGCAAAGUUGGGGAUUUUCUGGGAUUCCACAAAUUCACCUCAAAUUUGAUUUUCUCCUCUAUAAGGGUGUGGAGAGAUCUGGUGUGGAGGGGGUUUCGUCGGGUUGCCGUCGAGGUUAAAGGCAAGUGUAUGACGAACAAAUUAUGUGUUUCUUGGAUUGUUUGCUCCACCUAUUUAUUUUCAAUAUAUUUCUAUGUUAUAUGUGAUUGCAUAUGUUCAGAUUAUUGUUCAUGAUAUUUAUAUUUCAGGUUUAUCUUAUGUUCACAAUGACGUUAUUCUUGUUUCAAUAUUCUGGAUUCUGGUUCUGGUUAAAUAACUCAAUUUCCAUGCUUGCCAUGGAUGUGCAAUUUAGUUUCAAUUUGCUUUUUUGUUUCUAGUUUCAAUUAUUCAUGUUCCAUGUGAGUCAUGGAUAUGCUAUCUGGUUUUAUAUUCAUGUUCCUAUAGGUAAUUGUUGAUCAAGCUUACUCGGCUUUGCCGGCAAAUGCUAGGAUGUAUUCACAGUUGUCCAGGAUGGGAACUACUAUUUCAAUUCAUGUCUGUUCGGGAUGGGAACUAUUAAUUUUCUUUAACAUGGUGUUUGAAACCGUGUUUCUUUUCAAAGAAAGAAAGUUUUAUGUUCAGGCUUUAUUGCCAAUGAUGUGUAUAUGUGUUUUCUAGUUCCAUAUUGUACUUGCUAAGUAUUUAUGUACUCACUCUUGUGUUUAUUUGGUUUUAAGUACACAUUGAGAUCAGUAUGUAUGGGCGGAAAGUAGCACCCUUAUAUACACAUCUAUCUACACACUAUCAAAUUAUAUUGCUUAGGUCCAUAAUGACACUUAAACUAUAUCCUGGUUUUGUCUUGUA